rnacentral:rRNA from 1 species
UCCCGCAAGGGAUAAGUAGAGUGGCAAACGGGUGAGUAACGCGUGGGCGACCUACCUUCGAGUGGGGGAUAACCUUCCGAAAGGAGGGCUAAUACCGCAUGACAUCCCGUGUUUGGAUACACGGACAUCAAAGCCGGGGAUCGUAAGACCUGGCGCUUGAAGAGGGGCCCGCGUCCGAUUAGCUAGUUGGUGGGGUAACGGCUCACCAAGGCUCCGAUCGGUAUCCGGCCUGAGAGGGCGGACGGACACACUGGAACUGAGACACGGUCCAGACUCCUACGGGAGGCAGCAGUGGGGAAUUGUUCGCAAUGGGCGCAAGCCUGACGACGCAACGCCGCGUGGAGGAUGAAGACCUUCGGGUCGUAAACUCCUUUCGACCGAGAUGAAUUCCUGCCGGCCUAACACGCCGGCGGGGUGACAGUAUCGAGGGAAGCAGCCCCGGCUAACUCCGUGCCAGCAGCCGCGGUAAUACGGGGGGGGCAAGCGUUGUUCGGAAUUACUGGGCGUAAAGGGUUUGUAGGUGGUCUGUUAAGUCAGACGUGAAAUCCCUCAGCUUAACUGGGGAACUGCGUCUGAGACUGAUGGACUUGAGGGCAGGAGAGGAACGCGGAAUUCCAGGUGUAGCGGUGAAAUGCGUAGAUAUCUGGAGGAACACCGGUGGCGAAGGCGGCGUUCUGGACUGUUUCUGACACUGAAAAACGAAAGCCAGGGGAGCAAACGGGAUUAGAUACCCCGGUAGUCCUGGCCCUAAACGAUGAAUGCUUGGUGUGGCGGGUAUCGAUCCCUGCCGUGCCGCAGUUAACGCGUUAAGCAUUCCGCCUGGGGAGUACGGUCGCAAGGCUG